rnacentral:lncRNA from 1 species
UAAUAAUAGUUAUAUAAAUUGCACAACAAUACAAUUAAAAAAUUCAUUCACUUUAGUAUCAUAAGAGAUAUAUAAUUAUACACACAUUUAUAUACUUUAUUGUACUUCAUUUUCAGAAUUCUCAAAUUAUUCCUAUUAAGAACCAUAUAUAAUCAACAAUUUAAAACAUAAAAGAACAGAAUGGAAGACCAGCUAAAAUAGUAAAUCAAUGUAAAGUAGGAGUUUUUUGAAAGUCUUUUUCUGAAGACACAUUCUUAUUUUAUUAUAAACAAUUGUCUUACCCACAUAUAUAAGCUCAUAUACUAUAUUACAAUACAACACUCUACGUAUAUCCCUUUCAAGGGAAAUAGUUUCCUUUUUUAAUUGAGCUUCCUUGUAACAGCGGCUCUAGAUAUGGUUUCCAUAGCGAAAAAGUCUACGAUUGCUCGGAAGGCUAUUAAAAAAUUUCUCGUUACGAAUGAAAUUGCCAAGAACAUCCGUGUGUCAAAUUCCCCAAACACCAAGCGAGCGCAUAGCAUGGCAGAGACCUAUUGAUACCACUCAUUCAGUCACGGUAGUAUACCGGAGUUCGGAUUUCCAGAGGCGUUUGAAAUGUGUUCGUCCCAAGGAGAAGCCAUCAGCUGAAAUAGACAACAUGGAGAAGGGGAGCAGAAAAUGCUUGUGAAACAUGAGAAGCUGGGAAUCUUUUACUGGCAUCACAUUGAGUCUCCUCCUCCAACAAUUACCCACACUUCAAGACCUGGUGCUACCGCCUCCGUCGCCGCCGCUUACAUUGGACUACUUCUUCUCCUUCUGCUAAUGCAGGGCCACCCAUACUGCUGUGUGUUCAUUCAAUGAGUCAUCCAGUCUGAUAGCUGCUCACCAAUAUGCCCUCCUCCAGGCAGGUGACCAUGACUUAACUGAUGAGUGUUGAUCGUUAGUAGCAAGUAACAUCAGCGCGUGGGAUUCUCCAUAUUUCGACGCAGUUUUCGCAUCGGUUCAUUGUAGCUGUGAUUGCAAUUCGAAUGUGCUGGACUGGAAUU